UACGAAGGGGGCGAGCGUUGUUCGGAUUUACUGGGCGUAAAGGGCGCGUAGGCGGCGUAUCAAGUCAGGCGUGAAAGCCCCGGGCUCAACCUGGGAAUGGCGCUUGGGACUGGUAUGCUUGAGUUCGGGAGAGGAGAGUGGAAUUCCCAGUGUAGAGGUGAAAUUCGUAGAUAUUCGCAAGAACACCAGUGGCGAAGGCGGCUCAGCUGGCCCGAUACUGACGCUGAGGUGCGAAAGGCGUGGGGAGCAAACAGG
rnacentral:rRNA from 1 species